rnacentral:rRNA from 1 species
GACGAACGCUGGCGGCGUGCUUAACACAUGCAAGUCGAACGGAAAGGCCCUGCUUUUGUGGGGUGCUCGAGUGGCGAACGGGUGAGUAACACGUGAGUAACCUGCCCUUGACUUUGGGAUAACUUCAGGAAACUGGGGCUAAUACCGGAUAGGAGCUCCUGCUGCAUGGUGGGGGUUGGAAAGUUUCGGCGGUUGGGGAUGGACUCGCGGCUUAUCAGCUUGUUGGUGGGGUAGUGGCUUACCAAGGCUUUGACGGGUAGCCGGCCUGAGAGGGUGACCGGGCACAUUGGGACUGAGAUACGGCCCAGACUCCUACGGGAGGCAGCAGUGGGGAAUAUUGCACAAUGGGCGGAAGCCUGAUGCAGUAACGCCGCGUGCGGGAUGACGGCCUUCGGGUUGUAAACCGCUUUCGCCUGUGACGAAGCGUGAGUGACGGUAAUGGGUAAAGAAGCACCGGCUAACUACGUG